GACGAACCGUACGAACGUUAUUCGGAAUCACUGGGCUUAAAGGGUGCGUAGGCGGCGCGGAAAGUUGGGUGUGAAAUCCCUCGGCUCAACCGAGGAACUGCGUCCAAAACUGCCGUGCUCGAGGGAGACAGAGGUGAGCGGAACUUAGGGUGGAGCGGUGAAAUGCGUAGAUAUCGUCUGGAACGCCGAAGGUGAAAACAGCUCGCUGGGGCUGCGCUGACGCUGAGACACGAAAGCCAGGGGAGCGAACGGG
rnacentral:rRNA from 1 species